GACGAACGCUGGCGGCGUGCUUAACACAUGCAAGUCGAACGGAAAGGCCCUGCUUUUGUGGGGUGCUCGAGUGGCGAACGGGUGAGUAAUACGUGAGUAACCUGCCCUUGACUUUGGGAUAACUUCAGGAAACUGGGGCUAAUACCGGAUAGGAGCUCCUGCUGCAUGGUGGGGGUUGGAAAGUUUCGGCGGUUGGGGAUGGACUCGCGGCUUAUCAGCUUGUUGGUGGGGUAGUGGCUUACCAAGGCUUUGACGGGUAGCCGGCCUGAGAGGGUGACCGGCCACUUUGGGACUGAGAUACGGCCCAGACUCCUACGGGAGGCAGCAGUGGGGAAUAUUGCACAAUGGGCGGAAGCCUGAUGCAGCAACGCCGCGUGCGGGAUGACGGCCUUCGGGUUGUAAACCGCUUUCGCCUGUGACGAAGCGUGAGUGACGGUAAUGGGUAAAGAAGCACCGGCUAACUACGUG
rnacentral:rRNA from 1 species